AGGAAGAAUGAUGUCUCAACUAAGGGUAUUUUUAGAGUCUGGCUGUUGGAAAGACGUCAUCUCUCCCUAAGUGGCCUCAAUAACCGCUGUGGUUCGAGCAGUUUCUACAUCCUGUUGCUAAAUGUUCCAGAUCAUCCAGCUCCACAGGCUCCACUGUGUACACACGAGGCCUGGCAGAUGUGCCCUAAUUCCCAGACUGAUGGAGUGCCUGUGGAAUUGUUCGAUUAUACACAUGCUCAUACUUGGCUGGAG